UCAGGAUGGCUCAGUCAGCAGAGCAUGAGACUCUUAAUCUCAGAGUUGUGGGUUCAAGCCCCUACAUGGGGCAAAA
rnacentral:tRNA from 1 species